ensembl:snoRNA SNORA66 Small nucleolar RNA SNORA66
AGGUAAACAAGGUGCAAACUUUAUAUGAUGUGUCAGUAGAUAAGGAAACCAGCUUUACUARAGUAAUUGUUGUGACAGGAAUGUAUUAGCUUCAGAAGCUACUGAGGUAGCCCACUCUGUCCUAAUACAGAA